GCUCCGCACAAGUUCCUCGAAUGCACGCACACCUGGUCGCAUUGUUCUUGUUGCGGUAGUCCGAAGGAUGCAGCGGCAAGGACGUAGGAACGCUAUGCCGAGUUUCUGGCCGCUGCGCGCCGCAUUAUAGGGCGCUGGCCAUACGUCUGUAUUCCAUUAUGUAAUGGGCCAUUGUACCGCGCAAUUCUGCCAUGGAAGAGGAGAAAUGCCAUUGGGUGUCGUAUACAUCGGUCCAACGGCAGACUCGGCUCUCUUAAUCAAAGCAAACGACCGCGAAUUGAAAUUAUUGAUGUCAAGAGGAUAGGUAUGUUCAGUGUUGUACUAUGUAUGGAGAGUAAAAAAGAGGCAAAAUACCGCAAUUUGUGAUGCAAGUGAAAUCAAGGAUCUUCUAUGACUUAAAAUGAAGAAACAAUAAUAUUGUAAAUAAUAGUAUAUACACUAAUAAAAGAGUAAUAAUUACUGGUUCAAUAAUUUAAUAUAAUUG
rnacentral:misc_RNA from 1 species